rnacentral:misc_RNA from 1 species
UCCGGUUUGACACCGGCAGUCCCCUUAGAGUCCCCGGCAUAACCCGAUGGUAACUAAGGGCAAAGGUUUCGCUCGUUAAGGGACUUAACCCGACAUCUCACGACACGAGCUGACGACAGCCAUGCAGCACCUGUACUAGUUCCACCCCGAAGGGCGUACCCUGCUUUCACAGGGAUAAUCCUAGCGAGUCAAGCCCAGGUAAGGUUCUGCGCGUUGCUUCGAAUUGAACCACAUGCUCCACCGCUUGUGUGAGCCCCCGUCAAUUCCUUUGAGUUUUAGCCUUGCGACCGUACUUCCCAGGCGGGGUGCUUAAUGCGUUAGCGUCGGCACUGUAGGGGUCAAUACCCACAACACCUAGCACCCAUCGUUUACAGCGUGGACUAC